rnacentral:rRNA from 1 species
GACGAACGCUGGCGGCGUGCCUAAUACAUGCAAGUCGAACGAGAGCGACCGGUGCUUGCCCUGGUCAAUCUAGUGGCGAACGGGUGAGUAACACGUGGGUAACCUGCCCAUCAGAGGGGGAUAACAUCCGGAAACGGAUGCUAAAACCGCAUAGGUCUUCGAGCCGCAUGGCUUGAAGAGGAAAAGAGGCGCAAGCUUCUGCUGAUGGAUGGACCCGCGGUGCAUUAGCUAGUUGGUGAGGUAACGGCUCACCAAGGCCGUGAUGCAUAGCCGACCUGAGAGGGUGAUCUGCCACAUUGGGACUGAGACAAGGCCCAAACUCCUACGGGAGGCAGCAGUAGGGAAUCUUCCGCAAUGGACGCAAGUCUGAAGGAGCAACGCCGCGAGAGUGAAGAAGGUGUUCGGAUCGUAAAACUCUGUUGUUAGAGAAGAACAAGUGCUAGAGUAACUGUUAGCGCCUUGACGGUAUCUAACCAGAAAGCUACGGCUAACUGCGUG